rnacentral:rRNA from 1 species
GAUGAACGCUAGCGGGAGGCCUAACACAUGCAAGCCGAGCGGUAGAGAUUCUUCGGAAUCUUGAGAGCGGCGUACGGGUGCGGAACACGUGUGCAACCUGCCUUUAUCAGGGGGAUAGCCUUUCGAAAGGAAGAUUAAUACCCCAUAAUAUAUUGAGUGGCAUCACUUGAUAUUGAAAACUCCGGUGGAUAAAGAUGGGCACGCGCAAGAUUAGAUAGUUGGUAGGGUAACGGCCUACCAAGUCAGUGAUCUUUAGGGGGCCUGAGAAGGUGAUCCACCACACUGGUACUGAGACACGGACCAGACUCCUACGGGAGGCAGCAGUGAGGAAUAUUGGACAAUGGGUGAGAGCCUGAUCCAGCCAUCCCGCGUGAAGGAUGACGGCCCUAUGGGUUGUAAACUUCUUUUGUAUAGGGAUAAACCUUUCCACGUGUGGAAAGCUGAAGGUACUAUACGAAUAAGCACCGGCUAACUCCGUGCCAGCAGCCGCGGUAAAAC